CUAGCUUGCUAGGUGGAUUAGUGGCGCACGGGUGAGUAACGCAUAGAUGACAUGCCCUUUAGUUUGGGAUAGCCACUAGAAAUGGUGAUUAAUACCAAAUACCACCCUACGGGGGAAAGAUUUAUCGCUAAAGGAUUGGUCUAUGUCCUAUCAGCUUGUUGGCGGGGUAAGAGCCCACCAAGGCAAUGACGGGUAUCCGGCCUGAGAGGGUGAACGGACACACUGGAACUGAGACACGGUCCAGACUCCUACGGGAGGCAGCAGUAGGGAAUAUUGCUCAAUGGGCGCAAGCCUGAAGCAGCAACGCCGCGUGGAGGAUGAAGGUUUUAGGAUUGUAAACUCCUUUUGUGAGAGAAGAUAAUGACGGUAUCUCACGAAUAAGCACU
rnacentral:rRNA from 1 species